GACACGCUGGCGGCGUGGAUUAGGCGUGCAAGUCGAACGGUAUCAUCCUUUCGGGGGUGAGAGAGUGGCGAACUGGUGAGUAACACGUAGGUUAUCUACCCUCAAGACGGGGACAACCCAGGGAAACUUGGGCUAAUACCGGAUGUGAGCAACUUUUAGUUGUUUGAAAGGUGGCGUAAGCUGUCGCUUGGGGAUGAGCCUGCGUCCUAUUAGUUAGUUGGUGAGGUAACGGCUCACCUAGGCAAUGAUAGGUAGGCGGCCUUAACGGGUGGUCGCCCACACUGGGAUUGAGAUACGGCCCAGACUCCUACGGGAGGCAGCAGUCGAGAAUAGUCUACAAUGGUCGGAAGACUGAUAGUGCGACGCCGCGUGAACGAUGAAUCCCUUCGGGGUGUAAAGUUCUUUUAUAUGUGAGCAGUGCUUCUUAUAUUAACAGUAUGGGGAGAGAGAUAUUAGCAUAUGAAUAAGCAACGGCUAACUCCGUG
rnacentral:rRNA from 1 species